rnacentral:piRNA from 1 species
AUACGGGAGUAACAAUGGCGCUA